CUGCUGUGUGUUCCUACCCCCAAGCUUUGACAUUUCAUGUGUUUCCAUGUUGUGUUGGCAUAAUCAAACCCUUCAGUUCACAAUGUUUCAUACAUGCCAAUCUUUAUUGACUAGUUUUCAGUUGUCAAGAAUUCUUCCCACUCAACCAUCUCUGUGUUAGUUUGCAGUCAACUCUCCUGUAGGCCAAUUUAACACUGUAAAAUUAGAGGAGCAUGAGGAGUUCCAGAGAUCGUGACUUCUCCCCCCUUGCCCAUCCCAACUGUUCAGAAACUAUAUUACUGGAUAUGUGGGCAGAUGAUUUAUAGUCCAAGACUUACACAGAUGAUUAUAGCCGCAGGGGACAGUGAAAGAGGUGCAGAGUAGCCUCACAGAUUGUGUAGAGGAAGUAGGAAGAGUAAUGGCUCAGUGGUGGAACUGAGGGAGAGUAAGUUGUGGGGAUGGCUUCUGCCUUUGGAACUCUUUGGACAAUGCGUCUUGUCCUGACGUGUUCAUGGCUUACUCUGUUGGGGAGCACUUUGUAAUAACCGGGAAUGGCUCCAUACACCUGCCUCUAAUGACUCUCUUGGAAAUUACAUCUUAUUUUAAAGGCUUGGUAUGCCUUUGAUAGCUUAGCUUUAAGACUGCUUCCGAAAUAUUAAACUAGGAAAGAAGUCAUAAACUAGCUAAUAGAAACUUUGCAGAUAAUGAAAGAAGUGGAAGCAGCUUAGAGCAAGACUGAUCAGAGCAAGACCGGCCUGUCCACUUUCUAAGAAACAGCAACAGGAAGAUGUCUGGCCAUUGAUUGAUUGAGACACAGAGCAGCAAGCAGGUGAAGCAACAGGGUCAGAGCAGAAAGUUACUGAAAAGUUUUGUUGUUUUUCAUUAUUUUUAUUUUUUGCACGUGUGGCCGGUUUUACUUUUGUUAAGUUAAGGAAUCAGCCAGCAGAGGGCUCUCAAAGGAACUUGAGUUCUCUUAAAUAUUCAGGUGAUAUCUUUGAGCUUUUAGUUCUUUUCUGUACUAAACGUUUUGAAAAGGGUAACCAAAACGAGUGAGCUGGUGACACAAUAGGCUAAAGCCUCAGCGUGCAUCACUAAUACUGAAUCUCAGCGAAAGGUCAGUAGGUGGCACAUGUCUGCAGCCACAGGUCCUGUUUCCUGUCCCACUUGUAGACAGUGCUGAGGUUCUUGUAGGUGGCACAUGUCUGCAGCACACAGGUCCCGUUUCCUGUACCCACUUGUAGACAGUGCUGAGGUUCUUGUAGGUGGCACAUGUCUGCAGCACACAGGUCCCGUUUCCUGUACCCACUUGUAGACAGUGCUGAGGUUCUUGUAGGUGGCACAUGUCUGCAGCCACAGGUCCUGUUUCCUGUACCCACUUGUAGACAGUGCUGAGGUUCUUGUAGGUGGCACAUGUCUGCAGCACACAGGUCCUGUUUCCUGUACCCACUUGUAGACAGUGCUGAGGUUCUUGUAGGUGGCACAUGUCUGCAGCCACAGGUCCUGUUUCCUGUACCCACUUGUAGACAGUGCUGAGGUUCUUGUAGGUGGCACAUGUCUGCAGCCACAGGUCCUGUUUCCUGUACCCACUUGUAGACAGUGCUGAGGUUCUUGUAGGUGGCACAUGUCUGCAGCCACAGGUCCUGUUUCCUGUACCCACUUGUAGACAGUGCUGAGGUUCUUGUAGGUGGCACAUGUCUGCAGCCACAGGUCCUGUUUCCUGUCCCACUUGUAGACAGUGCUGAGGUUCUUGUAGGUGGCACAUGUCUGCAGCCACAGGUCCUGUUUCCUGUCCCACUUGUAGACAGGGCUGAGGUUCUUGUAGGUGGCACAUGUCUGCAGCCACAGGUCCUGUUUCCUGUCCCACUUGUAGACAGUGCUGAGGUUCUUGCUCCUUUGUUUUCGAAAUAGGGGGUGGAUAGUGAUGGUUUGUGUAAGUAACGUGUGACAUAUUGGAAAUACGCUGAAUACAAAAGGUAAACCCCUUUCCAAAUAGUUUCUAUUUUUGAUUUAUUUACUUUAUGAAUAACUAUGAAUGUUAUGCCUGCACGUAUGUAUGUGCAUCAUGCCCAUGCAGGUGUCUGCAGAGGCUAGGACACCAGUACUGGAGUUAUAGGUCGUUAUG
rnacentral:lncRNA from 1 species